AGAGUUUGAUUAUGGCUCAGAACGUACGCUGGCGGCACGCCUAACACAUGCAAGUCGAACGAAGUAGCAAUACUUAGUGGCAGACGGGUGAGUAACAUGUAGGUAUCUGCCCUUUGGCCUGGAAUAACACGAGGAAACUUGUGCUAAUACCGGAUAAGUCUUUACGGAGAAAGCUUUAUGCACCAUUGGAUGAGCCUGCACUUGAUUAGUUUGUUGGUGGGGUAAUGGCCUACCAAGACUGUGAUCAAUAGCUGAUUUGAGAGGAUGAUCAGCCACAUUGGGACUGAGACACGGCCCAAACUCCUACGGGAGGCAGCAGUGGGGAAUCUUGCACAAUGGAGGAAACUCUGAUGCAGCGAUGCCGCGUGAGUGAAGAAGGCCUUUGGGUUGUAAAGCUCUUUCGUCGGGGAAGAAAAUGACUGUACCCGAAUAAGAAGGUCCGGCUAACUUCGUGCCAGCAGCCGCGGUAAUACGAAGGGACCUAGCGUAGUUCGGAAUUACUGGGCUUAAAGAGUUCGUAGGUGGUUGAAAAAGUUAGUGGUGAAAUCCCAGAGCUUAACUCUGGAACUGCCAUUAAAACUUUUCAGCUAGAGUAUGAUAGAGGAAAGCAGAAUUUCUAGUGUAGAGGUGAAAUUCGUAGAUAUUAGAAAGAAUACCAAUUGCGAAGGCAGCUUUCUGGAUCAUUACUGACACUGAGGAACGAAAGCAUGGGUAGCGAAGAGGAUUAGAUACCCUCGUAGUCCAUGCCGUAAACGAUGUGUGUUAGACGUUGGAAAUUUAUUUUUCAGUGUCGCAGGGAAACCGAUAAACACACCGCCUGGGGAGUACGACCGCAAGGUUAAAACUCAAAUGAAUUGACGGGGACCCGCACAAGUAGUGGAGCAUGUGGUUUAAUUCGAAGAUACGCGCAGAACCUUACCAACACUUGACAUGUUCGUCGCGACUCUAAGAGAUUAGAGUUUUCGGUUCGGCCGGACGAAACACAGGUGCUGCAUGGCUGUCGUCAGCUCGUGUCGUGAGAUGUUGGGUUAAGUCCCGCAACGAGCGCAACCCUCACUUUUAGUUGCCAUCAUUAAGUUGGGCACUCUGAAAGAACUGCCAGUGAUAAGCUGGAGGAAGGUGGGGAUGACGUCAAGUCCUCAUGGCCCUUACGUGUUGGGCUACACACGUGCUACAAUGGUAUCUACAACAGGAAGCAAGACUGCGAAGUUAAGCAAAUCCCUAAAAGAUACCUCAGUUCGGAUUGCACUCUGCAACUCGAGUGCAUGAAGCUGGAAUUACUAGUAAUCGUGGAUCAGCGUGCCACGGUGAAUGCGUUCCCGGGUCUUGUACACACCGCCCGUCACACCAUGGGAGUUGGUUCUACCUUAAGGCAAGGUUUUAAACCCUUGACCACGGUAUAGUCAGCGACUGGGGUGAAGUCGUAACAAGGUA
rnacentral:rRNA from 1 species